GGCAUAUGAGUCUAUACCAACCAUCAUUGGAUGUGGUGUUGAUAAAGUAAACGAUGAAGCCAUACCACGAAUGCUGAGGUGGGUGUGCCAAUAAUCACCAAUGUCCCAAACUAUAAGCCCGGUGUUUAACUCGCCAAUGUUGAUAAUUAAGGCGGUCAUUGAGAUGACACAUGAAGAGGAGCAAUUGAAAAUUGCUUCAGGUGAACUUUUUAAAAACCUCCGCUCAUCUACCAUUGUUCAGUCGAAGAAUGGUGGUUCAAAAAGAGGAAGAGAAGUUGUUAAUGAUGAAGGUGACUUCAAAAAGAUCAGAGUAAGAAACAGAAGUCGAAGUCUAAAAUGAAAAAGGCUAUUUGGAGUCUCCAAGAUCGAGUAGCGGUUGUUGAAGGGCAACUUACUAGCAUAAAAUCAGAUAUUGACGAAUUGAAGGGCAUGAUGUCAACCAUAUUGAAGCACAUUGGAUUUCAAAGAAAGGGUGACGAAGGAGACCGCAAGGGGUUUGAAGGCUUAGUAGAUCAUACACUAGAAAGUGAAGAAGUGGAUAAUGCUAAGACCAAAGACGUUGACACAAGCGGUACCCCUAAUUGGUUGAGGAUGCCAAAGGAGGAUGACACAAGUAAUGGGGCGAAACACAUUGAACUUAAAAAGAAGGUUUGGUUCCAUGUUCUUGCUAAUAUUGAUGUUUAAUUUCUAUCAUUAUCCACACUAAUGCAUUAUGAGCUUCGUCACUUACAACUGCCGAAGGUAUGGGAUUCGCUUCGUCACUUACAACUGCCGAAGAGAUGAGAAACAUAUUAUUACCCAUUCGAGAGUUGGUGCCAAAUUUGUUAGAUAGUACUGGAUUCUUUGUUAGAAGAGGUGAAUCAUCGACAUACAAGAAAUCUUGGCCAGUUGUCAUUGUCGACUCCGUUCCACUACAACGAAAUAAUAGUGAUUGUGGCGUAUUCACCAUUAAGUAUUUUGAGUACAUAGCGCUGGUGUUGAUUUAGAUACAUUAUGUCAAGAAAACAUGUCGUACUUCAGAAAACAAUUGGCAUUUCAAUUAUGGACCAACACUCCUAUGUA